CAGAUGAGGGAGGCUGGGAUUUCCUUAACAUCUGAAAGAGCUCCUGGUCCCAGACUAUCUAGAAGAGUCAUAGCAACGUUUCUUCUGACUGCCAAGACCAAUUUCCUGUUACCCAAAUUUUGACCCUGCACCCAGUGAUGCUCCAAGCCUGGGCUUAAAGAGAGGCUUCUCAGGUAUUAUACACCAAACAGAUACACAUCUGCCAAAUGAAGAUGUCAUCAUCAAUGAGAUUCCCUUUAUUGGUUUUGCGGCCCAAAAUUUACAAAGCUCUUUCACAUGUACUAUGUGACUUAAUCCUGUGAGGAAAGAUAAAGCAGGUUUUUACUUUUAGCUGGAAAAAAAUGUAUAUCUAAAUAAAAACAAGCUAUUUCAAUCUCUCUACCCAACCACUCCAAUUACUGACAUUUCUUCAGAUGUGUAAUAAUUAUGCAUAUGGAAGGAUGUCUAUGCAACGUGAAGAACAUUCUGCUUCAAAGCUGCCCAAGAAUAGAAGAUGCAGCCUCAGGAAUGAAGUUAAUCAUCAACAACAGCCUAUGUUGUGGAUUGAACUGAGACUCCCUUAUCCAAAAGAUAUGUCCACAUCCUAACUCCCCCGUAGCUGUGAAUGUGACCUUAUUUGGAAACAGGGUGUUUGCAGAUGUGAUUAAGUUCAAGAUAUGGAGAUGACAUAAUCCUGGAUUUAGGGAGGGCCCUAAAUCCAAUGACUGAUGACUUUAUAAGAAUGAGGAGAGGAAGAUUUGAGACACAGAAACAGAGAAGGAAGCCAUGUGAAAACAGAGGAAGAGACUGGAGUGAUGCUGCCAUAAACCAAGGAAUUCCAGGAGCUACUAGAAGGUGUAGGAGUCAAGGAAGAAUUCUCCCUUAGAGCCUUCAGACGGAGCGUGGCUUCUGAAGACUUCUAGCUUCCAGAACUAUGGGAAGAAAAACAAUUCUGUUGUUUUAAACUGUGAAGUUGGUGGUGAUUUCUUGUGGCAGCCACAGGCAAUGAAUAUAGAGGGGUUUAGGCAGGAGAUAUAUGCCCCCUUAGUGAAAACAUCUCCUAAGGGACCUGGGGAUCAGAAAAUAGAUUGUUUGGUAAGUUAACCUUUAAGGUUCUUUCCAAUCCUCAGAUUUUACAACCCAGAGUAUUUUUACACAGCUGCACUGUUGUAAUGUUCUGCUUAUAUAUAUAAGAUAAUUUAAUAUAUGAAUUUUGUUUAUAUGCAAUUUCUUAUUUUUAUCUUUAAUGACUAUAGGAUAUGCCAUCAAACGAAGGUAUCAUAAUUCUAUUAACUCUUUUCCUGCUAUUAAUGCAAAUUGUUUUCAUGCAAUGCUGCCACAGACCUAAUUGCAGAUACAACCAUCUUUCCUUUGAUACCCUAGGACAAUGGUUCUCCACUGUGGAUGAUGUAGUCCUGCAGGGGAUAUUUGGCAAUGUCUGGGGACUUUGAUUGUCUUAAGUUUGGAGGAGGUGUUGCUAUUGGCAUCUAAUAGGUAGAGGCCAGAGAUGUUUUUAAGCAUUCUACAAGGCAGAAGACCUCUCCCGCAACAGAGAACUGUCCGAUUCAAAAUGUCAAUAAGUAAUGAUGAGGCUGAGAAAAACAUUCUGUAGAAUAAAAUCUUGGGAGUAGAAUUCUGUGGUCCUUGGGUUUGGCUCUUGAUAUGUAUUGAAGGAAUGUAAGCACCUUGGUUACAACAGAGGUCCAGAAAGGUAAAGAGAUGUGGCCUAAGAGUAACAUGCUAGUGGCAGGGCCAGGGCCACAGCCUUGAUCCAAACCUGCAAUCCAGUGCUCUCAUCAUCCCAGCCUGGCUGCCUCUUCACAGUCUAAAGGCCAGAAAGCAUUCAACAAGGUGUCUCAGGACAAAGAGCAAAGGAAAGAUAAACAUACCUGAACCGUCAGUGGUGAGGCUCUUGAUAACAUCGAGGAAAUAAAGUUUGUUCCUACUUUGAACAGAACCCCAUAUCCCUCUGUGACAGGAAGACUUCCCAGUGCCUCUCCCUGUCUGCACUGCCCAUGAAGGCACUUUAAUAUGUUCUGGCACAUGGUGAGUCUUAACAGACUGUUAGACAAUGACUGAGUGAUGAUCGGUUUAGUAGCUUUCCACAAGCUCUCUUGGGUGUACGAUCAUUGGCCUGAAAUAGUGACAGUUGGAAAAUACAUUCUUCAUGAAGUGUGUCAUGGCAGCAAACCUCUGCACUCUCCUCCAUCCCCUCUGAGACUCAGGGGUUGAGUCUCGACAUGACUGGGGAAGCCCAUCCCAUCAGUACUCACAGCACAGUGCACGUGUGGGCAACCUGACCAUCAUCUGGGUGCUCGUUAACAAUGCUGAUGGAUGCAUUAUAGGUUUAAAAUCCAUCACCUUCCUGGAGCUCAGAGCUG
rnacentral:lncRNA from 1 species